GUUUGAUUUCAUAAUUUCAUCAUUUGCUUUGAUCACUUGAUGGUAUCAACUUGGCGAUAAUUAAAUUAGAUAUUAUUAUUAUUAGUGUGAAUUCUUGGUAAAAGACAUCAAAAUUUGGCGGAUCAAGCACUUAUAAUUUUAUCAAAAGAGUAAUGUCAACUAUAUUGGCAGACAGUCUUAUUAUUGAGUAUAGUUGGCUGGGUCGGAAAGGAAAACGUAGCCUUGAGAGUACGAUGGUGGGAAAGCUGUUUGUAUCUGCAGCUGACAAAAGUGGUAUUUCGCCAAACAAAAAAAAAAACGGAGUAAGCGAUUAGAAGUUAUAUGAAAAGGGGAAAGGAGAGGCUGACAGCGAAAGAAAAUAAAAAUAUGAAUUAACAUGAACAUUAUUUAUGAAAUUUUAAUAAAAAUU